rnacentral:rRNA from 1 species
UCAGUCGACUCCUACGGGAGGCAGCAGUGGGGAAUCUUGGACAAUGGGGGCAACCCUGAUCCAGCCAUGCCGCGUGAGUGAUGAAGGCCUUAGGGUCGUAAAGCUCUUUCGCCUGUGAUGAUAAUGACAGUAGCAGGUAAGAAACCCCGGCUAACUCCGUGCCAGCAGCCGCGGUAAUACGGAGGGGUUAGCGUUGUUCGGAAUUACUGGGCGUAAAGCGCGCGUAGGCGGAUUAGUCAGUUAGAGGUGAAAUCCCAGGGCUCAACCCUGGAACUGCCUUUAAUUACUGCUAGUCUUGAGUUCGAGAGAGGUGAGUGGAAUUCCGAGUGUAGAGGUGAAAUUCGUAGAUAUUCGGAGGAACACCAGUGGCGAAGGCGGCUCACUGGCUCGAUACUGACGCUGAGGUGCGAAAGUGUGGGGAGCAAACAGGAUUAGAUACCCUGGUAG